AGCUCGUCGAGCUGCGGGAAUCAACGAGCCGCCGCGAAGCAGAACGCCGUCCACGUCGAAGAGGAUGCCCGCCUGAUGGAGACAGACGAGGCAGAGAGACAGACAGAAUGCUGCCACCAAUCAACCAAUCAACCAAUCAGCAUGCCAGACUGAAACCACGUGAGGAGACAGUCAGACAACGAGGAAGCGGAACUGAAGAGGCCUGAAAGAGAGAGACGGAUAGACAGUGACACGGAGAGAGACAGUUCUGAGGCCUCCGUCACCAACAGAACAAUAACAUGUGUUUUCACUGUUAUCUGGUGAUGUCAUCAUGUGUCCCCAGAUGUUCUGUGUUAAAAAGUGUUAAUAACGUGUCCUUGGACAAACAUUCAAACCGAACACCAGAAGACUCUCUGUUCUCUUAAAAUCGGUGGAAUCAACAAAACACGACGAGAACAACAAACUGAGCUGAAGAAUGUUUUAAUAAGAAACAGGUAGAGUAAAAAAAAAAAAAAGAAGCCUAUAUUUACACCAACAGACAGACUGGUUUACAGAACAGACAGACUGGUUACAGUCCCAGCAGAGUUUUGGCCGCCUGACUCUGAGCCUGAAGAGUCUCACUGGCGUAACGCUGCAACAACUCCAUCUUCUUCCUCCUGACGAGAGCCUCCUCCACCUGAGGGACGGACAGAGCUGUGAGGACAUUUCUGCUCUGUGAGGACAUUGUGAGGACACUUCUGCUCUGUGAGGACAUUGUGAGGACACUUCUGCUCUGUGAGGACACUUCUGCAUUGCGAGGACAUUUCUGCUCUGUGAGGACACUUCUGCUCUGUGAGGACAUUGUGAGGACACUUCUGCUCUGUGAGGACAUUUCUGCUCUGUGAGGACAUUGUGAGGACACUUCUGCUCUGUGAGGACAUUGUGAGGACAUUUCUGCUCUGUGAGGACAUUGUGAGGACACUUCUGCUCUGUGAGGACAUUGUGAGGACAUUUCUGCUCUGUGAGGACAUUUCUGCACUGCGAGGACAUUUCUGCUCUGUGUGGACAAUAAUCCCAACAUCUUCUCUUCAGUGUGUUACUCAUAAUAUCUUCCCUCCAGGUAGUGACCAGACUCCUUGCUUAGAUUUGUAUCAGAACUGUAUUCACAGGAAUAAAGGAAGGCUCCAAGGAAUUGUGUAGGUUCGGUUAAAAGACAUCAAUCUCAAAGUUCGGAUUAUGGGGGUCAGGUCCUGGAUAUGCAUUAUGUGAACAAUGGU